AAUUAAGCGAUGACAAAGAAAAGUACAUUUGUUUUUACUUUUAUAGAGAGCUUGUGGCAGGUGGAAACAAGUAUGUAAUGCAAAUGGAAUGGGCUUUUGAGCUUUAAUAGUGAACAUUGAAGUAGCUAUUAACGUACUGUACGUUAUACUUUCUAAGCGGCUCGUAUACUAGCGAGCACUUAGGGUGGCACCGCGGAUCAUUCCCAUUCGUCCCUAUA
rnacentral:ncRNA from 1 species